GAUGAACGCUGGCGGCGUGCCUAAUACAUGCAAGUCGAGCGAACGGACGAGAAGCUUGCUUCUCUGAUGUUAGCGGCGGACGGGUGAGUAACACGUGGAUAACCUACCUAUAAGACUGGGAUAACUUCGGGAAACCGUAGCUAAUACCGGAUAAUAUUUUGAACCGCAUGGUGCAAAAGUGAAAGACGGUCUUGCUGUCACUUAUAGAUGGAUCCGCGCUGCAUUAGCUAGUUGGUAAGGUAACGGCUUACGACGGCAACGAUGCAUAGCCGACCUGAGAGGGUGAUCGGCCACACUGGAACUGAGACACGGUCCAGACUCCUACGGGAGGCAGCAGUAGGGAAUCGUCCGCAAUGGGCGAAAGCCUGACGGAGCAACGCGGCGUGAGUGAUGAGGAUCUUCGGAUCGUAAAACUCUGUUAUUAGGGAAGAACAUAUGUGUAAGUAACUGUGCACAUCUUGACGGUACCUAAUCAGAAAGCCACGGCUAACUACGUG
rnacentral:rRNA from 1 species